CACAAAUAAGCGGAUCGUACGGGAUGUACUUUGGGAAGGACGUGGUAAUAACUAUGAUAAAGAUCCAUACCAAUAAACGUCCAGAUGGAUAUGGACCAUAUGGGCGUGCACAGGAGGCCACAGAUGUUAAGCCUUUCUCAACUCUCCUGCCGUUGAAAGGUGUUAUUUAUAGCUUUCAGGGACACUAUGGACAAUAUCUCAAUUCAAUUGGAAUUUCUGACAAGUACAAGACGGUGGAGAAGUAUGGGCCGUAUGGACGUGCUUAAAGCUGUUGACGCAUUAUAUUACAUCUAUGAAUAUUGUCUGUAUGCUGCUAUGUGACGAUAAUAUGUAAAGAGUCAUCUUUUAAUUUUUGUUUUGUUUUUUUUUCCCAAUAAGCCACAUAUGCUAGAAGUGGCCCUCGUGUUUGGGUUGCUCUUGGCAUUUUUUUCUCCAUUUUUUAUUUCAGUCAGUGUUGUGUUGUUCUUUAUUUUUCAUUUCUUUUGACUCUUAAUACAUACGGACUAUUCCUGUCUUCUAAAUGAA